UCCGGCUCACCAAGAAGAGCCGGAAUUCCCAUCACUAGAGUUCGCAGCCGGGUCGGUACAACGCCGUUGACCUAUUAGCUUAGCUAGCUGGCUGAAAGAACGUAGAAGCUAGAAAUUACAGUUGCCGUUGACGUGUUAGCUUAGCUAGUCGGCUGAAAGAACGUAAACACUAGUAAUUACAGUAUUAACACGUCUUCAUUAAUCUUUUUGGCAUUGUUACUGAAAUAAACAUGGUCUCUGCCAUUUCUACAUUAACCCGUUGUUUAAUGGGACACCAGUAAUGGAGUAAUUUGGAGGGGAUCCUUUCUUAAGUUUCUGGCACCAGCAGUAGCAACGGAAAAGGAUAAGGUACCCUCCAAAUGCUGAUGAUGCAGUUCAGUCAACAUCUACCUCCAGUGGGGCGUCAAUAUCUACCUUGAGUGGGGCAUCAACAUCUACCUCCAGUGGGGCGUCAAUAUCUACCUUGAGUGGGGCAUCAACAUCUGCCUCCAGUGGGGUGUCAACAUCUGCCUCCAGUGGGGCAUCUACAUCUGCCUCCAGUGGGACAGCAACAUCUUCUCAUCAUGAAGAUGACAAAGAUGAAACUUUUGAAAUAUCUUUGUUUGGAUGUGACGAUCGCUUUUUUCAAUUACUCCUUUAUGGUUCAAGUUAGAACAUGCAUUACUGUAUGUAAAUGAGGUUCCUAACAAGCACAGUGCAAACACUUGAGUAUGUACUGUGUGUAAACCCAAAUGCUGAAUAUGGACUCAUUUAUUAGCAUGUUCGCAUCUGAGUGCACUUCUGAAUGAGAGGCAACAAAACAAAUUAAACGGUAGAGGGAAAACCCACUCACCAAUAACUGAUGUGACUCAUUCUGUUUUAGACAAGACAAAGAGCUACCUGUGAAGAGAAACACUCAACGGUAAU